rnacentral:rRNA from 1 species
GGAGGAAAAGAAACCAACAGGGAUUCCCUUAGUAACGGCGAGUGAACCGGGAAAAGCUCAAAUUUGAAAUCUGCCAACAGGCCGAGUUGUAAUUUGUAGAUGGCUACACUGCAUAAUAGUAGAUGCUCAARUUCUUUGGAAAAAGACAUCAUGGAGGGUGACAAUCCCGUGAGGCAUGUUACUAGGAGCAUAUAGUGGGCUUUCUAAGAGUCGAGUUGUUUGGGAAUGCAGCUCAAAGUGCGUGGUGAAUACCAUGUAAAGCUAAAUAUGGACGAGAGACCGAUAGCGAACAAGUACUGUGAAGGAAAGAUGAAAAGCACUCCGAAAGGAGAGUGAAAUAGUACGUGAAAUUGUUAAAGUGGAAGGGCUUGAGAUCAGAAUUGGUAGUUUGGGUUCCACGUCCUCUUGGGGGCGUGUACUCCCUUUCCACCGGGCCAGCGGGAGUUUCGUCUCUUGGGUAAAAGCAGUGGAAUGUAGCAGCUUGUCUGUAUUAUAGCCUCUGUUCAUACAAGACGUCGAGACUUGUUUUUGUUGGCGUAAUGAUCUCUAGCCACCCGUCUU